CAAUCUGCCUUGGAGUGGGGGAAUAACGGCUGGAAACAGCCGCUAAUACCGCAUGAUACAGCUAUCUCGCAUGGGAUUGGCUGUCAAAGAUUUAUCGCUCUGAGAUGAGCUCGCGUCUGAUUAGGCAGUUGGCGGGGUAACGGCCCACCAAACCGACGAUCAGUAGCCGGACUGAGAGGUUGGCCGGCCACAUUGGGACUGAGACACGGCCCAGACUCCUACGGGAGGCAGCAG
rnacentral:rRNA from 1 species